AGAGUUUGAUCCUGGCUCAGGAUGAACGCUGGCUACAGGCUUAACACAUGCAAGUCGAGGGGAAACGGCGUUGAGUGCUCGCACUCUUCGGACGUCGACCGGCGCACGGGUGAGUAACGCGUAUCCAACCUUCCCGUCACUGCGGGAUAACCUGCCGAAAGGCAGACUAAUACCGCAUGGCCUUCACUGACGGCAUCCGAGGUGAAGUAAAGCUUUUUAGCGGUGACGGACGGGGAUGCGUCUGAUUAGCUGGUUGGCGGGGCGACGGCCCACCAAGGCGACGAUCAGUAGGGGUUCUGAGAGGAAGGUCCCCCACAUUGGAACUGAGACACGGUCCAAACUCCUACGGGAGGCAGCAGUGAGGAAUAUUGGUCAAUGGGCGGAAGCCUGAACCAGCCAAGUAGCGUGCAGGAGGACGGCCCUACGGGUUGUAAACUGCUUUUAUGCGGGGAUAAAGUGAGGGACGCGUCCCUUUUUGCAGGUACCGCAUGAAUAAGGACCGGCUAAUUCCGUG
rnacentral:rRNA from 1 species